rnacentral:misc_RNA from 1 species
AAGUCGUAACAAGGUUUCCGUAGGUGAACCUGCGGAAGGAUCAUUAGUGAAAUAAAUCCAAAAAACUGUGCACUAAACUUGCAAUUUUUUACAGUCAAAAUAAUAAAUGAUACAACUUUUAGCAACGGAUCUCUAGGUUCUC